rnacentral:tRNA from 1 species
AUCUAAAUAGUUUAAGGUAAAAUACUGGUUUGUGGUGCCGGUGAUAUAAUGUGUUUAUUUUAGAUU